CCUGAAUCGUAGUAUUCCGCAGUUUUGUGCGCAUUGUUGGUUCCGGGAAUAUUUGAUUAAAAUGCAUAUAAUUCGCAGUUCGUGGAGCUUGGAUUGAUUUUAUUACUCUCUUUUGGAUUGGAUCGGGAUGGAAAUGGAAUGGUGAUGUCAAGGCUGGUUAAUCCCGAAAAGGAGGAAGGAGGUGCACACCAGAGGUCGACGCCGCGGAUUUUAUGCCGCCGCCGAUAUAUCUGAUUUCCUAUUCCUUCAACAUUGGGCUGUCGCGCUGCGGAAAACCCGCCAAAAUUAGCGCCGCCGUAAAUUGGUAGGCAUCGAUCUCUGGUAAACACGUGGGUAUUACGUCCGUUACGUUUGUAAUACCCACCCCGGGAUUUAGCACGGUUUUUCAAAACAAGAGUCCACAUCAGGUUUGCGGUCAGUGUGUUAUUUGUUGUUUUUUAUACUCAUCCAACAUUGAGUAGGACCUGAUCACGAUGCGUGCGUAUGGUGUCACCACGACCUCAAAGAGGUCACAUUGCGGUUGGCGAAACAAUCCAGCUUUUCAUUCUCGGUUUAAGAAUAAAUCUGUCAUUGUGUGGCAAUAUAAUAGCCAAACUGGCCGAGAAUGGUUCUCCCUAUAAAAACUAGAUUUUACCCUGAAAUCAUGGAGUGUGGAUGUAGCUGCUUAAAACUAGUAAAUCAUCAUCCUACGCUCAGGAACUGUCACCGUAGAUUUCAUUCGUAUUCAAAUUGAGUAACUUGUAAAAAAUGAGUACGUGCGAAUUUCUUGAUACGCGAAUUAGAAAGUUUUCUGGUCUCAUUUACACAAAUCCUAUAGGAGCUGCGCAAUUAAGUUGAAAUCAAGGAUUUGGUACACAUAAGUCCUAUACACCUUAAAUAUCUGACUGACAUACAUAAUAAUCUACCGUCGAAAAUAGUUUUUCAAUUAAAACGAAAAACUUGUCCGGAUUCCGGCGAAGAAUAAACCCAAAUGUCGAUCAAUCACGUUUCACUGGAGUAGAUUGCUUCUCAUUCUCAAGUGGAAUAGAAAAUUUACUAUUUAUGUAAGACUUCUUUUACAUAUAGAAUUUUCUAAAAGUCUCUUUUAAACCUAUCAAGGAGGAUAAGGUUGGUUGACGAAUAGUUCUAUGUUCCGGUAGAUAAGGUAAAUUAGUAAGUGAUUACGUAGAGAUUUAUUAUGUAUGUAUGCUUAUUCGAGCAGUAACAAAUUAUGCAAGUGUGCACAUAAAUCUUUGCAGGAGAGCUAAAUUUAGACACGCUAAUAAUUAUAGCUUGUAAGUAACACACUCGACGCAAUUUUAGUAACUAGUUUGUUCAAACAUUAAACAAAAACAAUUCCUUGCUGAACUGAAGGCUCAAACAGAGAAAAGGAGUUUGUGUCUCGGUAAAAGAAACCUACUAAAAGAUGAAUGCGUGUUCCUACAUGUGUUGCAUAAUGGGCAAUGAAUUAGCGAUGAAUUGGUUGGUGGUGGUAUUUCCAGACUAACGAAAACUGGAAUGGAAACAAGCGUCCAUUACAAAGUUGACGUGUGCAUAAAUGAUGCAUGCAGUUCCUUGGACAGGAUUACGGCAAUGUUCUAAAAUGUUCUAAAAGAGCAUCUAAUUUAAUGGUGAUGAUCUCUCCUAUAAUCUGCAUGGUUUAAGGUUGGACUUGUAAAAUUCCGCUCGUUCUGGUUAGAUUACUGGUUCAAAUUUAUAAAAGGAUGGUUCUCUCGGAAAGUUAGAAGCAGUAAGUGUUUUGCACGGAGCGAAAUUUUUACCAUUUGUUGGGACAUUUAAACUUUCAGUAAAAUGGAGCCAGAAGAAUGUCCAGAAGAGUGGAGAUAUUUCGGUUUGUGUGGACCCCACGUCGUCGUUAUCGUUAAAGAGUUUAAAGAAUUUAACGACAGAUACAGAUCAAAAGAUUGAUCUGUAUCGACUAAUAAAUUUGCUGUGAUCAAAAAACGUAGGUAAAUGUCUCAUUUGUUCAUGUUCGAAAAAUUGCAAAACUGUCCCAAUUCUCAUUGCGAUAUCUCAUUUUUUUGCAAAAUUGGCAUCCAAAUAAUUCAAUAUUUCAACAUUUCAUUUCAUCAAAUGCAAAUAAAAAAUCUGUGCAAAUACAGACUUAUUAAAUAGUUACAAAUUCCUAUAAUACCUUGUCUUGCAAAUAUUUAAAAAAAGAUCUAAGAAAUAAAUCACUCAACAAUUAAA